rnacentral:rRNA from 1 species
AGUCGAACGCGAAAGUUCCCUUCGGGGAGCAAGUAGAGUGGCGCACGGGUGAGUAACACGUAGGUAAUCUACCUUUGGAUUGGGAAUAACACCGAGAAAUCGGUGCUAAUACCGAAUAAUGCAGCGGCACCUAAUGGUGACAGUUGUUAAAGCGGGGGAUCGCAAGACCUCGCGUCUAAAGAGGAGCCUGCGGCGGAUUAGCUAGUUGGUAAGGUAACGGCUUACCAAGGCGAUGAUCCGUAGCCGGCCUGAGAGGGCGGUCGGCCACACUGACACUGACAUACGGGUCAGACUCCUACGGGAGGCAGCAGUCGGGAAUUUUGGGCAAUGGGCGAAAGCCUGACCCAGCAACGCCGCGUGAAGGAUGAAAUCCCUCGGGAUGUAAACUUCGCAAGAACGGGAAGAAUAAGCCGGUGUUAACACCAUCGGCGAUGACGGUACUGUUUGUAAGCUCCGGCUAACUCCGUGCCAGCAGCCGCGGUAAUACGGGGGGAGCAAGCGUUGUUCGGAUUUACUGGGCGUAAAGGGCGCGUAGGCGGCCACCGCAAGUCGACUGUGAAAUCUCCGGGCUUAACUCGGAAAGGUCAGCCGAUACUGCGGGGCUAGAGUGCAGAAGGGGCAACUGGAAUUCUCGGUGUAGCGGUGAAAUGCGUAGAUAUCGAGAGGAACACCUGCGGCGAAGGCGGGUUGCUGGGCUGACACUGACGCUGAUUGUGCGAAAGCUAGGGGAGCGAACGGGAUUAGAUACCCCGGUAGUCCUAGCCUUAAACGAUGAAUGCUUGGUGUCUGGGGUUUUAUAGUCCCCGGGUGCCGUC